GGGGUUGUGGCUCAGCGGUAGAGUGCUCGCCUAGCAUGUGCGAGGCCCUGGGUUCGAUUCUCAGCACCACA
rnacentral:tRNA from 1 species